AGAGGUUUUAUUUGAAAAAAACAAAAUAUUGAAUUUUAAGAUCAGAGGCUUUUUACAUACUCUUUAUUCUUCAGACUCGAUGUCAAAUUACAAAUAAAUAGUCCCUACCACGUGGCUACCUUGCUCCUCGAUGAUGUACACUUCCUCAGGCAGAAAACCACGAUAACCAAGAACACAUCAAAGGGGAACUUGCAGUGAAUAAGCAGCUGUACAGUGUAGAAAGGACGCACUACAUCUCAGCAUGGUGCAGUGUGCACACCUGUUACAAAUGGGUCCCCUUCACAUCAGACACGCGUCAUUCUCCUAGAAAACUCACGCAUCAGAGACUUAAAGUUGUAUCAUAGGGAAUAAUUGCUUUAAAAACUAUAAAAUGGUUGUAUUUUAGCAGAAAAAAAAGUUAUUCCAGGAUAGUCUAGCUUUAAACAUUGCUGAAAAAAAUUGCAAGCUUCAGAGAACACCAUAGUAUUAGAUGUUACUUAAGAACAAAGUAGUACUGGGUGGCGCAGCGGUUUGGCGCCUGCCUUUGGCUCAGGGCGCGAUCCUGGAGACCCGGGAUCGAAUCCCACGUCGGGCUCCCGGUGCAUGGAGCCUGCUUCUCCCUCUGCCCGUGUCUCUGCCUCUCUCUCUCUCUGUGUGACUAUCAUAAAUAAAAAAAUUAAAAAAAAACUUUAAAAAAAAAAAGAACAAAGUAGUACUAAUAAAGUUAAGGAGACCACUUUGUUUUGUUCUGUCAGUAAAAACUUAAUAAGGUUGAAUAAAACUUUAUGUAACUUGUUUCCAGAAAACAAGUUCUUGGGACUCGUUCUGUUUAGGAUCUAUGGGCUAUAUUCAGAUGUAUUACAUUUAGCAACUCACUUUGGCAUUUUUCCAGGUUUUCCUCCCCAAGCAUCUUCUUGCCAGAACAGUAUUUUAAUAAAAUUAUCGUUGUUGGUGGUGUUUUGGGGUUUGGGUUUUUAAACGGUUUCUUUUGGAAAGGGUAAUAUUAAGAUCGCGUUUUUCAAGUCACUCAAGACGGCUUGGGUCAGAGAGUGAUCUGUGGGAGAAAGGGGAGCAUACUUUAUGUACCCUCACACUCUGCUGUGACAUCGGACACCUGGCAUCUGAGAUUUUAGGACUGAAAAGAAUCCUGAAAAAUGGGACUGGAUGCAGAUUAAACCAGACUUAGUAGAUGCUUCUGAAAAGAAACUCCUAUCCAGAAUCAGUGGUAAGCUGGGUAUUCCUCUGAUGCUGUCUCAAGUCACAAUUGUGUUCUUUCUCCUUUGAAGCCGUUACCUUUUUUUCUAAAGGGAGCUUCUCAAAAGUCAUCUGAAAGCAAACAGUUAUUCUAAAGAUAAAGCAUGAAAGAAAUUCUCCACCCGCCCUGACUUUAGAAUCCCAACAUCCCGACAGAGAAGCUCCGUUUCAUCUUUCGUUGUUUUGCUUCUUGGCAGCCUUCCCAAACUUGAUGAAAAUUUAAACGAUGACAAGGAGAAACACACUCAAAACAUAUUACAAAUAUACACAAAUACGGGAAGUUCAACAGACACUACACUGCAGUAUCUCCAAAUAAGAUGUGAGCGUGGCAUGGCCAAAAGCUCCAGGGCCCUGGGUCUCAGCACUCCCAUCCUGCACCGAUGGACAUUCUUCACUUGUUGCCGGUGCCUCUCCAUGCUGACUGGGAAUCAUAACCAAUAGGACAUAAAAAACAUGGUACCUAUGAUUUUUAAGUCUUGAUUCGAACACAUCUUCGUUGGUGCAGGCAUAAAUACUCUCGAUCAUGCUCAAGUAAGACAAGCAACACAGGUGAAGAGACUUUCUAUGUAGGUAUCACAGUGCUUUCAGAAUCAUACAUUGUUUCCACAGUAACAUAAAAAUCUACAGAUUAAAUCUUAACUCACCACGCGGUAUGAAGUUAAAUUCUCAUGUAUCUUAGUAAGAAUGCCAGUGUCAGAAGCAUUCUCCAUGUUCCCACGUUCUAGUGUAAAGGCUGUUCCAUAGAAGGGGUCAGGGGCUUUUGUAAUAAGCUGCCAACUGACACUGACACACACACCCCAGUGCAAACUAUCAAGGGAAAGAAUCCUCAUUUUGAAAUGAGAUACAGGAUUACACAUCUAGAAUAUCAUAUAGGGGUGGAUAGAUCUGCCCAUAAACGGGUGGAUCGUAAAUAUCGGCAACUCAAUGUACAUACAGUUGACGAAUACCCUUCUAGCCUUUGCUGCUUAAAGCCUACCCUAACUUUUAGAAUUGCUUCCAACUUAAAAAAAAAAAAAAAAAAAAAAG
rnacentral:lncRNA from 1 species